UGGUUGAAAAUAAGAGGGUUCCCACCCAGAACUCUUCUUGUGAGAGACGUGCACUUUAAAGGGUGAUUUUGUUACAGAUGUUUAUGGCGGGGUUGGGGGUUGGGGAGCACCAUGAUCUAUGGAACUAUGCUUGGUCCUUUGCUUCUACCCGAUCCCAUCUCACCUCACCAUUCCGCUAUAAGGCUUUCUAGCAGUUUAGGGCCAGGAGAGAGAGAGAAACCCCUUUAAGUUUGAGAAUGAAGGACUGCCUUGCCAGGAACCCAUUCAGGGCUGUGGGGAAAAGAUUUGACUAAGAUGAUGGGACUUAGGCAAAGCUUUUGAAAGGCCUCUAACCUAAAUUCCCACUCAGCCUGCCAGGCCCGCUUUGAUACUUCAUUCAGUCUGUAGUAGUAACUUCAGGACCUGGAGGACCUUUUCCCCUGGGCACCUAUGCUCCUCCAUUGUCUGUCUAUGUUGUGCCUUAGCGCCUACACUGCCCCUACCCUUCUGCUGCCUGACCUCUGCAUGGUGUAUGACCUGGGCCUCAUGUGUAGCUGCACUGCCUUUGUCCACUAAGACCUCUAGUUUUUGGUGUCUAAGGGUCCCUGGUUUCCCUAUUAGCUAUAAUUUUUAUAUUUAGAAACUCAGAAUCAUGGCCUCUUCCACUGGCAGCAGUAUAGUGGAGAAACAAGAAAGAAACCAUGCCCUAGACUGGCCAUUUCCACUCCAGUGGAUUUUCUUGGCCUCCUCCCGUCCAAAUCCAUUGCCUCUGAGCACCUGGGCCUAAGCUGUAUCCUCCCAGUGUCAGCUCUGAAAGUCUAGAACAGUCCUUGUAACAUCUUAGCAGAUGUUUCCUUGUGUGGUGGUGGAUUCUUCUAGAAAGAGCAUCUUCUAUCUUGGUUGUAUUGGCUACCACCUGUCUUAUUCGUCCAUCUCCCUCCAGCUGUAGGAUUCCACUGGGUGUUAGGAUUUAGGUUCCCCUCCCCCAACAACUUUCAAGUGGUUGAGUAAUUUUUUGUGAAGGUUUUUUUUGGGGGGGGAGGGGUCUUUAGACUCUUGAAGGCAACUCAGGGUAUUGUCCACCCAACUAUGUAGUUAGACUUCUCCCAGGGAAUGAUUGUGGCAUUUCCUUCAUAGAUAGACUUGGACCAGCCGAGACCUGGCCUGUCACCAGGAGUCCUAUACUUCUGAAGUGUGAGCAAAACUUAAGGCAAGUCUUGUGAUCUCUCUUCACUUACUUCCUCCCCAGCUGCCAAAUGGGGAAAAUAAUCUUACCUACCUCCUGGGGGAGGGGAAGGUCUGAGAAUGGAGUCCUUCUUAGUGUUCAGGUGCUAAAGGUUAUUCUCCUUGGGGACAGAGUGACAGAAACUGGCUAGUUUGCUAUAAAUCCUACAUUCUGUUUCGUACCUUGAGAGCAGAUACAUGGUCAGUGAGCUUUUAGGGCGGACUCAAAGGAAGCUGCUUGACCUGACUGCAAGCACUGACGUCUCUGACCCUGUGCUGCAUUGGAGGUCACAUCCUUUCCCUUCUUUUGCCCCCAUUCUCUGCUGCUUCUCUGGCUUGUUUCCUACAGUGGGGGCCUGUGGGGUUGAGUCUUGAGGAAUUCUUGUCUCCUGUUUCAUGAACAACGCAUUCCUAGGUAUUACUGCAUGUGUGGGUUUCUCACAAGACCCCUUCUCAGAAGGUUCCUCAUGGAAUUUAGUGACAUGCACUGUAGAUGCUCAAGAAAUGUCUACCCAGGAUACCACUGAGCUUCCUCCUCAUGGGGCAGACAUGUAAUUGGUUAGUAGUUGAAGUCAAAUUGCUCUCUGCUUGGGCUGCCUGUAGCUGAAUCCUUGGAAAAAGAAAUCGUUGAGGCCCUUGACAAAUUGGGCAUUGACUUUUUUGCUAUGGUUCUUUUUCUUAUCCCUGCUUGGUUUAAAAAAAAAAAAAAAAGACAACUCCCUUAAUGUGGCGCCAUGCAUAUGUAACUUGAUUUUGCGGAGAGCUUUUUCCUGAAGUAUGCACCCUAGAAAAGAAACUGCUAAUGCUUGUCAGAGCUAUGGCAGUACUUGACCCUGAGUGUGUAAGAGGUGGGACUGGCUUUUAAAGUGAGCAUUCCAGUGGUUAGCUGUCAGCUUUUGGGGAUUGGGCGGUUGACAAAGAUCAGCCUGGUCCUGGUUAAUGGUAGGACUUUCCCAAAACUUGGAGAAAGAACUGCUAUCUGAGGCUAUCAGAAAUACCCAUGCCAAUAUAGAGGGGGAACUUGGUAAAAGAUGAUGAUCAUCCUUACCAAGAUGAGAAGUGGGGAAGGGCUUCGGGUCCUUAGAGCUGAGAGCUUCUACCCAAUAGAGAAGCCCAAGAAGAGCUAGACUGACCCCUUUACACUUACGGUCCCACUUGGUCUUAACACUAUGGGCUUUGUUUGCUUUGUGCUGCUUUGCCACGGCUGUUGUCUGCUCACUGUCCUGCCUGUUGCUCAUUAUAGCUCCUGUUCCUCAUGUCUCUGGCCAUGUAGACUCUCAGGCAUUCUGUCCAGUGUUCACCUGUGUUCCGCCAGUAUGACUGCACAACACAGUCAUAUUCAACAGUGAAGGUGUGAAUGCUGUUGAUGGGCUGGGAAAUUGGAAAGGAUGCGGCUUCAGUGCUCUCAGGAACCCUUAGGCUCCAAAAAUUUGCCUGCCUUGAGAGAAAAACAAACAGGUCUUUUCUCUCCCCUUUAUGGUACUUCUCAGAACAAGAGGAACCAAGUUAGGGCUUGAGCCAGCGUCCCAGUGCAUUUGUCCAGCCCCAGAUUCUGGGACUAAGAAAGUGAGGUUUGGCUGAAAGAGCUCAGGUUGGGCUUCAUUUCAUUUUCACCAGUGGGUGUUAUAGGCCUUCUAAAAACAGAAUGGUAACAUAAUUCAACCUGCAUUGAGCCGGGAUUUUGAAGAGUUGAGUGGUCACACUGGUGUGAACUGAAGAUGGACAUUGGGAAAGGCUCAAGCCAUUGGGAUAAAGAUAACCAGAUUGAUCCAUUGGCUAUGGGAACUUAGGCCACAGGUUUAGUUAGAAUCAAGCAGGAUAAAGGCCAUGUUUUAGAGAUGGGUUAACUUCCUAGAACUAAGUUUACUAAACUACACUGAAGCUAUUAUACUUUCUAGAUCAGAAAAAAUACACUACAGUUGAAGAGCUGAAUUCUAUUAUGGAUGGAUGGAUGUUGUGAGCCCCUGCUUAGAAGCCUUCACCUUCUAGCUCCCUGGGGUAGGAAAGGUCCCCGCAUCAUGCAAUAAUAAAAUAAGCAUCCGAGUCUUUGCAGCUGUCAGUUGUUUUUUCAACUCUAGGAUCCAUCUUUGGACCAAAAGUCUGGUCUGGGCCUAGGAUGACAUUGGCCCUUGAUGCUAGAGUUGGCUGCAUUCUCUCCUUCCCUGCAGACUAUGCACAGUUCCCGGAGCAGAGGGAGAGGUGGUGUGGCUUGCCCUGCUGAGCCUUCUCAGCAGGAAUAAUAGUAAUAAAUGCACUUUUCACACUAAAGGUUUCGUUGUUAGUUCUCCUGUUAAGCCCAGAUCUUUCCCUAGUAGAUUGCAGCUCAACAGUCUGUGAUCCCAAAGCCAUUCCACUGUAAAUGCCUGGCAGGAAAGAUGGCCCCAGACUGGGUUCCUGCCUGCAGUGUGUGUGGCAGUAGCCCAUGUGCCUUUACCUAAUGUCAGAUUUGCAAGCGUUUAGUCUGUCUUUAUGUUGGGGGGGUCUUAGGUACUUCAGAGAGAGAACUGGUAACAGUGAUUUUAUGCCCACCCCACCCCCUGCCAGGGACUUUGCUCGUACUUGUAAAUGGUGAGGGUUGGUGAGCUGCUGGUAUUGCUGAAGGCAGGGCGGACCCCUCACUUGCUCAUAGUGCACUCACUGAAUUGGAUUGGGGAAGAGACUGACUGUACUCACGGCUAACUUGAAGUAUUAAAACAAGGCUAUCCUCUACACACUUCCUAGUCACGCAGGAUCCCUGUAGCCAAAACAGUAUAUGUUCCAGCUGCGAGAGCAAACUGCUCUCAGCUUGCAUAGCACCUUAGGGGAGGGAAGAUAAUGGAUAGGUAAUCGGGUGGAGGAAGGAUGGUAAUUUUGUCAUCCAGGUGGCUUUAGGGUCCUAAGGAGUAGAGAAGAAUGGCACUGGGGAGGUCUGGAUGGAUCUGGUUUGUGUAGGAGUUCCUGUAGAUAAAUUACUGGUCCCCCCAACCACUAUCCCCAGUAUGUAAUGGCUGAAUUAAUAUGUAAUCAACUGCAUUGUAUCUAAAGCCUUAGAACUAGUCAGGUGCUCCUCCCACCCAAUACCGUUUCUUACCCUCUAAUCCUACCUGAUCUUUAACAAAGCAUUAAUAAUUCUAAGGAUAAUCUCUAUUUUGUUGUGCUUUUUUGUAACUGUUUUAAAUAAAUCAAUUUGUACUGUAUAUUUGUACUUUUGUGAGAUCCUUUUUGCUGUUUUACCAUUUUAAGUCUCUGUACUUGGCUACACACAGAUUGUAUUUUUAUUGUUAAUGCUCUCUUCUUAUGGAUACCUGCAUUUAACUUGUGGACUAUGUAAACACAAUAUAUAUCAAUAUCUAUAUAUCUAUAUAUCGAUCUAUAUAAACUACUAGCUUUUCCUU
rnacentral:lncRNA from 1 species